UCUUCGAUGCCCGCCCUCCCCUCGCUCAGCAAGGGAAGAGCGGGGCGGCGCCCGCGCUUUACGUGAUGGAACCCGCCGGGCGGGCGCAACAGGAGGCUGCCUGCCGGGAAUGCUCGGCUGGCCGCGUCACGUGACCUCGGCUGCCAACAGAUGAGAAAAGUUGCUCCUGGAAAUGUUGAAGUCACACCUUUAUCAAGUUACACAGAUACAUUGCCCUCUCAGAACUUCUGCCACAUGGCCUUUGGCUCAUGGACUCAAAACUUGAAAGAAAUAAGCCACCAUGUUAUGACAAUACUCAAACAAGCCUCUGGAAAGGUCCACAUGUCAAAGAAUGCAGACCUCUUGCCAAGAUCCUGCACUAACUUGCUAGCCUUGUGAAUGAGCCGUCUUGGAAGCAUAUUGUCCAACACCAUAGUCGACCUUGCAGAAGACCUGACCAACAGCUUGCUUGCAACCUCAUGAGAGACCAGAACCACCCAAAGCUGUUCCAAAAUUCCCAGCCUACAAAAAGUGUGGGGUAUAUUGCUGUUUUAAGCCACUAAUUUUGGGGAUAAUAAGUUACUAUUACAGAGCUUUAAAAAAAAGAAAAAAUAAAUGUAAAAUGUUCCUU